GGCGGACGGGUGAGUAAUACUUAGGAAUCUGCCCAUUAGUGGGGGACAACAUUCGGAAACGGAUGCUAAUACCGCAUACGCCCUACGGAGGAAAGCGGGGGAUCUUCGGACCUCGUGCUACUAGAUGGGCCUAUAUUGGAUUAGCUAGUUGGUAGGGUAAAGGCCUACCAAGGCGACGAUCCAUAGCUGGUUUGAGAGAAUGAUCAGCCACACUGGGACUGAGACACGGCCCAG
rnacentral:rRNA from 1 species